GACGAACGCUGGCGGCGUGCUUAACACAUGCAAGUCGAACGGAAAGGCCCUGCUUGCAGGGUACUCGAGUGGCGAACGGGUGAGUAACACGUGGGUGAUCUGCCCUGCACUUCGGGAUAAGCCUGGGAAACUGGGUCUAAUACCGGAUAGGAGCCAUUUUUAGUGUGAUGGUUGGAAAGUUUUUUCGGUGUAGGAUGAGCUCGCGGCCUAUCAGCUUGUUGGUGGGGUAAUGGCCUACCAAGGCGGCGACGGGUAGCCGGCCUGAGAGGGUGGACGGCCACAUUGGGACUGAGAUACGGCCCAGACUCCUACGGGAGGCAGCAGUGGGGAAUAUUGCACAAUGGGCGCAAGCCUGAUGCAGCGACGCCGCGUGGGGGAUG
rnacentral:rRNA from 1 species